rnacentral:lncRNA from 1 species
CUGCGGUCUCUCCAAAAGAUGCCUUUAUUAACGCUGUGGGGUAGUAAUUUCAGAUCCCCUGAGGUGGUAUUGAGGUCGGGGAAACUCAUUCUGCAUCCAAAACAAGCCUCUCUUGAUCUGAAGAUCCUGCCAGGGCGGCUCCUCCUGCACCGACUCCCAGGGGUGCAAACACACCGAAUUCUGUCCAGAAAAAGAAAUCUCUCUGAAGGUUGCAGGAUGUAGCUGAUGUGCUUAUUCUUUGCCCUUGGUGCAAACUUCUAGUGUGGAUGUAGAGUGCCAUCUUCACCUAAGAAGGUGAAACUGCCCCAUGUCAAUCAUUCAGGAUAGUUUCAGACAUGCGCUCUGGAGGCAGAGUGACUUGUGUAUAAAAGCUGUAUGAACUUGGUCUAGAUGGCUGUUCCAGCGCCAGUCAUCACAUCUGCAUUCCAGCUAGCAGGAAGGAAGAAUGCAAAGAGAAGGACAUAACCUCUCUCUCCAAGGACACUUCUCAGAAGUUAACACACAAUUCUUCUGCUUACAUUCCAUUGGCCAGAACUUGGGCACAUGGCCACAUCUAGCUGCAAAGAGAGGCUGGCAAAUAAAAUCUUUAUUUCAAACAACUUUGUUCCCUACUGAAAAAAGGAGGAGUUUGUUAUUACAGAACUUGGUUUAACAACUGGAGCACUAUUGGCAGGACAGUCUCUUUUGAAUGAGACUGUCUCGUACAUUUUAGGACAUUUACACCACCAGGCCCCAGAUACUACCUAAACGCUGGUAGCACCCUCCCAGUGACUGUAUCAACCCAUGCUCCUACAAUUUAAAGUUAACCUUGGGGGUAGCACUGUCUUUGAAUUUUAGGUUUCUGUGGCAGGCAUUUUGCCUGCCCAGCAAGCAGUAUAUACCUUGCCAGGGAAAUACUCCUUCCCAUAGCCAUGUUUUGGAUAGCCAUCUUCUCAUGUGACUCUUUUUCUAAUAACAGAGAUGAGAAAACAGGUCAGCAUCUGACCCAGAGAAGGCCAAAUAAAAUCUUCUAACAGGUUUUUAAAAAUUAGACCUAGGUGAAGAGUUUUAAUUUCUUCCUGGGUGGAGGUA